rnacentral:lncRNA from 1 species
CUGAGACUUGUCCUAAGGAGAAAGCCAGGGGAAAAAUGAAGUGAGAAUUAGAUUAAAGCUGCCUUGCACUGCCGAAUGCUGAGCCUACAUGAGCUGCAGGAUCAAGGGCCAGCACUGGAAAAGCUUUACUACAGUUGCUAAAAGAAUCGUGGAGGACCACAAGGUUUAGAAGAUGGCUCAAUAUUCCAACCUUGCAAUUCUCAGAGAAAGUAAUGAGAAAAACACAGUCCUGUGGAUCACCAAGUCCAGAUUUGUACAAAGAAAAACUAGUUCAGGGCUGAGACUGAGAGCUGAUACAUUUCAAGGAGGACCGGCCGGCUGCACUUGUGAGCGGUGACAGAUCUCUGUGAAAUAUAAUCCUGAUUAAAAAUGCAUGUGUGAAACCUCUUCGAAUAAAGCGCUGUGUCCAAC